GGGGUUGACUUCCGGUCCUUGCCCUCUGCCGCCAUGUUGCUUCCAGCCCAGGACCGUCUCCGCCUCAGACCCUCCUUAGGACCAUAGGAAGCAAGCUUGGGACUAGCAAAGAGAAAAUAAGAGAGAAAACAGAAAAUCUGAACUGA
rnacentral:lncRNA from 9 species